rnacentral:lncRNA from 1 species
AUAGUUCUCAUAGUUCUAACCAUUAAUUUCCAGCCCUGCUCUCAUCCAUAAUGCUUGCUUUUUGCUUCCAUCAGAUGCUUCGAGGACAAAUCAGACCUGAGGAUUCUGAACAGGCUCCAUGGAAAAGUCCCUGUUCCAGAGGCCUAGCUGUCACAAUCCUGAUUUCUAUACCUCUUCAGGUGGAGUGCCCACACUGCAGUCUCCAGACGCAGCAGAUUUCCUUGCUCAGCUGCUUCAUUUCACCUCAGGCAAACUCUGCUCUCCAGCCCAGCAUUUCUACUGCUCAGUCAGGCUGCCCUCCCCUUUGAAAAUUAUACAAGGUCUUGGACAGCCCAAUCCUUGUGCCUCAGCUUUAAGAGGUCCAGUCGGCACCCCCCGGCCUUCCACUGCCUUUUCAUUCUCAGGUGGCUCUCCCAGGUCCACAGGUAAGUGCAUACCUCCAAAACAUUUCUACUUUGCCUUCCAUUAGGAGGCACAACCAUUUCCCUAGAGUAUUACACACAAUUAUAAAUCUCUUUCCAAGCCCCUCUCAUCCCUACUUCCCUGCACAAUAUCCACUGCAGGGAAUUGGGAGGGUGUAAACUGACCCGGAGACAAUUUUAGUUGUAGUAAGCAGUUCUUAGAGGCUGCCUGGAAAGGGCUGGGAGCUCAAAAAUAGCAAAAUAGAAAACCAGAAAGCCUUUAUAUCACUACGAUUGGGACCCC